UACGUAGGGUCCGAGCGUUGUCCGGAAUUAUUGGGCGUAAAGGGCUCGUAGGCGGUUUGUCGCGUCGGGAGUGAAAACACGGGGCUUAACCCCGUGCCUGCUUCCGAUACGGGCAGACUAGAGGUAUGCAGGGGAGAACGGAAUUCCUGGUGUAGCGGUGAAAUGCGUAGAUAUCUGGAGGAACACCGGUGGCGAAGGCGGCAUCCUGGACCAACACUGACACUGAGGAGCGAAAGCCAGGGGAGCAAACGGG
rnacentral:rRNA from 1 species